AAUGGACGAAAGUCUGACGGAGCAACGCCGCGUGAGUGAAGAAGGUUUUCGGAUCGUAAAACUCUGUUUUCAGGGACGAAUGUGCGAUAUGUGAAUAAUGUGUUGUAAUGACGGUACCUGACAAGAAAGCCACGGCUAACUACGUGCCAGCAGCCGCGGUAAUACGUAGGUGGCAAGCGUUGUCCGGAAUUAUUGGGCGUAAAGCGCGCGCAGGUGGGAUAAUAAGUCUGAUGUUAAAGUUCGGGGCUCAACCCCGUGAAGCAUUUGGAUACUGUUAUUCUUGAGUGCAGGAGAGGAAAGUGGAAUUCCUAGUGUAGCGGUGAAAUGCGUAGAUAUUAGGAGGAACACCAGUGGCGAAGGCGACUUUCUGGACUGUGUCUGACACUGAGGCGCGAAAGCCAGGGUAGUGAACGGGAUUAGAUACCCCGGUAAUCCUGGCCGUAAACGAUGGGUACUAGGUGUUGGGGGUAUCGACCCCUCCAGUGCCGGAGUUAACGCAAUAAGUACCCCGCCUGGGGAGUACGGC
rnacentral:rRNA from 1 species